rnacentral:rRNA from 1 species
GUAUGGCUCAGGACGAACGCUGGCGGCGUGCCUAACACAUGCAAGUCGAACGGAAGCAAAGAUUUCGGUUUUUGCUUUAGUGGCGAACGGGUGAGUAACGCGUGAGGAACCUGCCUUUCAGUGGGGGACAACAGUUGGAAACGACUGCUAAUACCGCAUAAUGCUUUUGAGUGGCAUCACUUAAAAGCCAAAGAUUUAUUGCUGAAAGAUGGCCUCGCGUCUGAUUAGCUAGUUGGUGAGGUAACGGCU